rnacentral:rRNA from 1 species
CGAGGCCCCAGGUCAGGCGGGGAUUACCCGCU